GUGAGGUGGGGGAUGUUCCAGAAACUCCCAAGUCUACCGGUGAACACAUCACGGGCGAGUCAUUGGGCAACAACAACCGCGGCGCGUUGGGAGGUGUUGGUAAAAUGGGGAGGCGCGUGCUGAGAGAGGGGCUUCUGCGACUUCUGAAGGAUGUGAUACCUCCAUUACCAGUGUCUCGUCUGAAGAACGACCCACCGGCCAGCGUAACGCAUAUCCACGGCAACAACAACAGACACGCUUCGGUGAUGGUGUGUCUUGACUCUCCGUCGGGCGCUGAAUCGCGAGAGCGGCGGCGAAGUCAUCUGCAGCAAAAAGAUCAUGAAAUGCGUCAAUCACGACUGGAAAAAAAAAUGCAGCAUAUGGCGGAAGUGUUGCGGCAGCUCCAGCAGCAGGAGACGCACCAGAGACGACAAGAUCGCGACCGGGGACAAGAACGGCGGCGAAGAAUGACAAAGAAUAAUAUGCCGAAGCAGCAAGAACACCGGGACCCAAGACUGUCUCAGAAGAGCCUCCACAAAGUUGGGAGAAAAAAACUUCAGGUGGCCAAACGUCAGGCGGGUCUCUUCUCCUCAGCGGCGGCGUACGGUCGGGGAAAACCAAUGAAAAAAAAUCUCUCUGUGACCAAGAAACUCGUCUUUGAAGAUCCACCAGCGCGGCGUGCAGCAGCAGCAGCGGCCGCUGGAGAAAAUCUCGCGCCACAACCGGGCCCUUCCAAUGCGGCUCGUGCGGACGAAACAAAUGAAAGCUUCUCAAGCACUGACCUUCCUUCAGCUUUCAAUUCUUUGAAUUUUUCUCAUAGCAUGGACGUGAAUAAUAUUAUAAAUGUUCUUGAUGAGAGUCCUAUAUUUAGUGCUUAGCAAUUUUUUUUAUAUAAUAUGUACUCGCUCUGUGUGUAUUAUUUUUUAUAUAUAUGUACUUGUGUUGUGUAUUUUUUUUCUUCAUUUUUUUUUUAUGGCGAAUGUGUAUUUUUGUUUUUAGGCUUAGCAUGUAUUUAGUCUGGAUUAAGAAAGAACAAAUUAGCCUGGAUUAAGAAAGAACAAAUAAAAUAGACUAGUAGGCUUAGCAUGUAUUUAGUCUGGAUUAAGAAAGAACAAAUUAGCCUGGAUUAAGAAAGAACAAAUAAAAUAGACUAGUAGGCUUAGCAUGUAUUUAGUCUGGAUUAAGCAAGAACAAAUUAGCCUGGAUUAAGAAAGAACAAAUAAAAUAGACUAGUAGGCAUAGCAUGUAUUUAGUCUGGAUUAAGAAAGAACAAAUUAGCCUGGAUUAAGAAAGAACAAAUAAAAUAGACUAGAUUAAGGUAAUAUAAUAACUUGUCAUACCAUUUUUUCCACUAUAUUUCAAUAAAAAUGUAUAAAAUC